rnacentral:rRNA from 1 species
AACGAACGCUGGCGGCGUGCCUAAUACAUGCAAGUUGAGCGCUGAAGGUUGGUACUUGUACCAACUGGAUGAGCAGCGAACGGGUGAGUAACGCGUGGGGAAUCUGCCUUUGAGCGGGGGACAACAUUUGGAAACGAAUGCUAAUACCGCAUAAAAACUUUAAACACAAGUUUUAAGUUUGAAAGAUGCAAUUGCAUCACUCAAAGACGAUCCCGCGUUGUAUUAGCUAGUUGGUGAGGUAAAGGCUCACCAAGGCGAUGAUACAUAGCCGACCUGAGAGGGUGAUCGGCCACAUUGGGACUGAGACACGGCCCAAACUCCUACGGGAGGCAGCAGUAGGGAAUCUUCGGCAAUGGACGAAAGUCUGACCGAGCAACGCCGCGUGAGUGAAGAAGGUUUUCGGAUCGUAAAACUCUGUUGGUAGAGAAGAACGUUGGUGAGAGUGGAAAGCUCGUCAAGUGACGGUAACUACCCAGAAAGGGACGGCUAACUACGUG